UACGUAGGGCGCAAGCGUUUAUCCGGAAUUAUUGGGCGUAAAGAGCUCGUAGGCGGUUUGUCGCGUCUGCCGUGAAAGUCCGGGGCUCAACUCCGGAUCUGCGGUGGGUACGGGCAGACUAGAGUGAUGUAGGGGAGACUGGAAUUCCUGGUGUAGCGGUGAAAUGCGCAGAUAUCAGGAGGAACACCAACGGCGAAGGCAGCACUCUGGGCCGGUACUGACGCUGAGGAGCGAAAGCGUGGGGAGCAAACAGG
rnacentral:rRNA from 1 species